rnacentral:rRNA from 1 species
UACGUAGGUCCCGAGCGUUGUCCGGAUUUAUUGGGCGUAAAGCGAGCGCUGGUGGUUUAUUAAGUCUGGUGUAAAAGGCAGUGGCUCAACCAUUGUAUGCAUUGGAAACUGGUAGACUUGAGUGCAGGAGAGGAGAGUGGAAUUCCAUGUGUAGCGGUGAAAUGCGUAGAUAUAUGGAGGAACACCGGUGGCGAAAGCGGCUCUCUGGCCUGUAACUGACACUGAGGCUCGAAAGCGUGGGGAGCAAACAGG